AAACGGCAAAUCCAUUAAGAAAAUACUCUCUUAUGAAAAAUUCUUAUUGAAGUUUUGGCGAUAUAUAACCCCUAGAAUUAAAAAAUAAUAAUUUUCUGGGGAAUCCUCUCACUGUCGAAUGACGAGAUAAAAUGCAAAUUUCCCGCUUUGGGCGCAUGCGCAAGAAUCUAGGUUAGUAGAACGUAAACAUAUAUCGGCAGAAACAUGGCUUCCGAAGCCAAGAGAUGUCGGCCUAGAAUUGAAACGAGUUCGGCAACAAAGCGACGUAAACAGAAAUGGUCACAGGACAACCCGGUUAUAUGACUGGGGAAACAACACACUAGUUGGAAGACAUUCAAUGAAGAAAAUAGUUUCUCUACAAACGAGCAUGCAGCACGGAUUCUUCUGGAUAAGUGUGCACUUCAGUGACACAAAAAGUUCAUGCAGGUGAAGACAUCCCCACACCAGCUGGAACUUCUAUGGGACCGCCAUCACAUGUGUGCAUCCCUACACCAGUAACAUCUACGCCUACACAUGCCCAUAAAGAACCUAUAGCUAUAGAUAGACCUCCGAUGUCUCAGAUAUAGAAGCUCAGUCAUCACACUCGUCUGAUUUAUUAGCCCACCAUCAUCAGAUGGUGGGCUAUUCAAAUCGCCCUGCGUCCGUGG